rnacentral:rRNA from 1 species
CAGUCGCCGCGGUAAUACGUAUGGUGCAAGCGUUAAUCGGAAUUACUGGGCGUAAAGCAUGCGCAGGCGGUUCGCUAAGACAGAUGUGAAAUCCCCGGGCUUAACCUGGGAACUGCAUUUGUGACUGGCGGGCUAGAGUAUGGCAGAGGGGGGUAGAAUUCCACGUGUAGCAGUGAAAUGCGUAGAGAUGUGGAGGAAUACCGAUGGCGAAGGCAGCCCCCUGGGCCAAUACUGACGCUCAUGCACGAAAGCGUGGGGAGCAAACAGGAUUAGAUACCCCCGUAGUCCCUGUCUCUUAUAC